AGUCCUCUUAAAGGCCAGGUCUGGAAUUGUCACAGCGCAUUUCUACCACGUUCUAUUGGUUGAGGUAGUCAGAGAUCCGGCCUAGAUUCAAGGAAUGGAGAAAUAAGUGCUACCUCUCAAUGAAAUAAGUGACCAAGGACUUGCAGCCAUUUUGAAUGACCACAGCAGAUUGUCACUUCCUUUAGUUCCUUUUCUUUAUUCUUCAAUAUCUAUGAACGCUGCUGUGGUUGGGGGAGAGGAGGCUGCACAGAGACAAUACUGACAUCACAAGAGCCCUCGAAGCCUUCUUGGAAUCAUAUGGAAUCCUUAGGUGGUGAUUUGGAAAGUACUGCUAGAAGCAUCUCUCAUCACUUCUGAAAGGAGAGUGCUGAAGCCAGGAAACUGCUCCCUCAGUGAGAAUUAGAGGAAGAAACCACUUGAAUCACAUAUGAAACAUUCAGCCCAAUCAAAGCAACCUUCAAGAGCUGAAAAGUAACCACAGCUUUGAGAGUCCAUGCAAUACGCAGGCCUCUCACUGCUGCGGCCUCUCCCGCUGCGGAGCACAGGCUCCGGACGCGCAGGCCCCGGACGCGCAGGCCCAGAGUCCGUGGCUCACGGGCCCAGCCGCUCCGCGGCAUGUGGGAUCCUCGCGGACCGGGGCACGAAUCCGUGUCCCCUGCAUCGGCAGGCGGACUCUCAACCACUGAGCCACCAGGUCAAUGGAGAAAAUAUUAAAGAGCUAAUGAUCUUCGUUUGUUCCUUGAUUUCUUUGAGAAAGGACCUGAGGGUCACCACCAAGCUCUGAGAAUGAAGGAGGUGAGGACUAGUAUGUUUCUGGUAUAUUCCUGGGAACUGUGGAGAAAUGAAACAUGAAAGACAUGUUUAUGGGCUUUAUUCUAGAGCACACAGGAUAACAAUUGCAUGAAGCCAAGAAGGACAGACGUGUCCCUACAUUCAUCAGAACUCAUAAUUGACUUUGUCGAAUCACCAGCUCCCAUACUUCAGGUGAUAUCAACUACAAGAGAUGCGUGUUUUCUAUAUAUAUUGCUCAGAGAAAUUGUAGCAGGCAGCUUCUGUGACAGAGAAAAAAAGAAAGUUUUAUCAAACCCCAGAACUCAAUCUCCCAGCAUCUGUUUACACUUCUUGGAAUGACUGAAUAUGUGUGAGAAGAAAAUGGCAGAAACCGGGAGGGUGGUUAGCUCCUGAGUUGAACUAAAUACCAAAGUCUCUGAUUAGAGGUAACUGGUUUCCUUCCUGUGACACUGAAAAUGUCAAAAAGUAAGCUGCCUCUGGAUGGACCUCACUUUGAAGCUUAUUUGUGAUGAUUCCAGUUAGUUCUAAGGUGGUAAGAAUUAGAAUAUAUUAUAUUUUGUUUUACAGAUUCUUUGAAGUUUCUUGCUGGAGCUCAUUUUUAAAUAUCCUCAGUCUUUUGUUUUAUAUUCAUAAGCAAAUUGAUUUCCUCACUCCUGAUUCUAUCUUACCAAUUUUUAAAUUAUUUAUAGUUACCUGUUACAAUUAACAAGAAAAUUGUACCUGAUCUAGUCAUAUUUUUAUGGAAAACUUUGUUUCAUCAUUCUAUGAACUUCUACCUAAAUUGCAAAAUUUAAAUUGGUCAUAAAAGGUUUUUUUUUUUAUCUUGAAGGAGUUUAAAAAGAAGCAGCAUGUAUGAAGAAGCUACUGAUACUUUUUCUUUUCAGAUAGAGUGAUCAUGUAUAUACAAUUUUUAUCCUGUGCAACUCCAAUGAUAAAAUUCCUAGGAUUGAUAGGGAUUUGGGAAGAAAUAGUGGAUAAAACUUACAAUCAUUUGGGAUUUAAUUAAGUCACAUUUUCAGCAGGUGUUCUAAAUAAAUACAAUAACAGUAAUAAAUAUUAUUAGCAUGCAAGAUAGUGCCUGACUAGAGGCGGUAAACAUUAGAUAGGGUUUGAAUAAAGGACUAUAAGCUCGGUAUCACAGAACUUUAGAUAGGAAAGUUACCUAAAAAAUGUUCUUGUCCAAUUCCUGAGUUUUACAAGUGAGAAAAUUCAGUUUCAGGAGAAGAAACUGUUUCAGGUUAAACAGUCUGUUAGUGGCAUAGUUGAGGCAACAUUCUAUGUCUUCUACUUCUGAUUCACUACCUUUAGUCUCUGUUUUUUCUAGAUAUACCAACUGAAAAACAAAAGUGACUACAUGUAUUGAAUUAUCCAUAUAAUUAUUAAUUUAAAUAGUACAACUUAACCUUGAUCUACAAAGUUAUACCUGAACAUACUUUGAAUAGUGUUGUGAAUUUUGUAGAUCAUGUUCAAUUAUUUAUCGCUUACUCAAAACGUGUUUCCAUUGUACAAGCCAAAUUAUGACAAUAUAGAAAGUAGAAAAAGAAAUGGAGAACAUCCACAACUUCUACCAUUACAGUACACACUAUGCAAUUUUUACUCCUAGUACUUAUUCAUGCUUACAUAUGUUCUGAAGUUGUAAUGAUGAGGUAAUAUGAUGUUUGUUAUGUUUUAUUUAAUUAACAUUAUAUCAUGACAUUUUCAUGUUAUUACAUAAUGUUCAUAAUGACUACUUUAGCAACUGCAUAGUAUUUCAUUGACUUGCUUUGAUAUUUAUUCAGCCAUUUCCCUCUUGUUGAACAAUUAAGUCACCUCCAAUGUAACUGUUAAUAACACUGCAGUGAAUGUCUUCAUUCACAUUGCUUGUGUAUGUUGUUUUUCUUUAAAUUAUUUUUCUGUGGGUAAAUUACAAACUAUUGAAUUUUGACUGGAUAUGAGUAUUUAGGUAUCAGCAGGGCUCAUAGCGCAUUUUGCUAAAUAGUUUUCCAAAAAGGUUACAUCAUAUAACUAAAGAAUAAAGUCAUCUAGGCUGUUGAUUAAAUAGAACAGCCCCACUUUUACCAGACAUGGACCAUGGAAACAACAGAGAAGCCACAGUUAGGACUGGCCUUGUGUGCAGAAGGGUGUCCAGAAGUCUGCACAGAUAAUGUACAUGACAGUCCCUAGAAAUGAAGCCCAGUAGUUUUCCGGAAAUUUCCAACAAUGUAAAUUCUCAGUUAGUGCCUUCUUAAGGAACUAAGAUUUUUAAGAAAGUCAAGACAUUUGUAGACCAAAGAAGGGUAAAGAAUUAGCUAACACAUGUGCAGAGUCUAGUUGACAUGAUUAACACCCAUUACCAAUCAUGUACACUUAGAGAAAAUAGCCUUAAGGCUUCAAAUAAGUACUAAGAAGGAAGAAGUUGAGCACAUGAGACUCUUUUGCCUGUUGAGUGAAAGAAAAUAGAAAAUUGGACUUAAAUCUCUCAUCCAUCAUAAACAUGUAUUCCCUAUACACACACCCCACCCCACCCUCAAUCCGAUACACACACACACACACACACACACACACACACAGGUCAAUGAAAAGACCAUGCUUUUCUUUUUUUUCCCACAGACUUACUGUUUGUUUUCCUCCAAAUGGCAAUGGCAGAAGUAGAUUGAGUUACUUAGGCAGAGUUCUGUGUUAGAACUGUGAACCACCUUUUCGUCCUGCUUUUUUAAUAAAAAGGUUGCUUAUGUUUCAGUUCAAUCUCUGUGGCUAUUGCUAUUGAGUAAACCCCUUUACUCCAACCUUCUGGGUGAAAAAAGACCAUGCUUUUUAAAUUUCAUAAGUUCUUUAGGACUCAGACCCAGGACUCCCAGGGCUGUGGUGAUUGACUUGCUCUUUAUUGCUCAGUAUUUUUUUUCCUGGUAUAUGGAGCUACACAGCUACCAUUUACUGAAAAGCUGCUAUCUCCCAGCCACUUUCUUGGAUGCUUUUUGUUUAGGAUAUCAUUUAAUCCUCACAACAACUCUAUAUAGUACCAUUUAUUUCUCUCUAUUACAUAUGUGGAAAUCAAGGCCCAGAAUCUUUAAGCAAUUUGCAUGAAAACACAAGUUCUGAGUUAUACGGUGGCAGAGCCAAGAUUCACCCUUCUCUGAUUGAUGCUGUUCUGUGAAGUGCCUCUCAGUGCAGCACAGACAAAGUGAGGGGGGCAUUUCUACCUGAAUAUGUUAACAUUUCUGGGAUAUUUUGGUUCUCUUGAGAUUUUUCUAUUCAUAAAAGUUGAAAAACCUCUCAGUUACUUCUUUUUCUCAGAAUGUCGGUCAUACUGGAUAUUUAAUCUGCUAUUAAAUGUAUGUCCAGAAGAAUACCAAUGGGAACCAAAAUAGUGGCCCGAAAUGAACUCUGUAAUGUUUAAUGAAAUGUUAUAAUAUUUUGCGUUCAAUCUUCAUGACUAAAGUCACGACAGAUAUUCCAAAUCAGCAGCUGUGUUGCCAGUGGAAUCUCAACAAUAUUAAUUCAGAUUUGAACAACCACUCUUGAUUUAUCUCUUUAGAUUCAGGUCCCAUAAAAACUAAGGACGAAGUCUCCUGACUGAAGUCUUUAAAUUUAAUUUCUAAAAAGCAAUUAAAUCUGAUAAAGUGUUUGGGUCUGAGAAAUUUUGGUGAAGGCAAAGAAUGAAACAGGAAUAUACCUGUGUCAUAACACAGCUACCUUAUUAACAAUUCUCCUCCUCAAGUAGUUAAGCUGAUCUCUCAGCAAAUCCAUUAAAAUUACUCACAAGAAUUUAAGUAUGUACUAUUAGUCAGAAUGAUCUUGGUACAGAGUUAAAAAACAUUAUUCCUUUCCCUGCUUUGAAAUUUUCACCCAAAGAAGGAUUAGAUGAAUUCUAAGUUUUUUAAGUUUGUAGAAGAAUUCUACCACAAAUUUAAACUCAAGAGGAAAACGCUUUAGAUGUAUGAUUAAUAUAUUAUUAGUGAAUAUUUGGGAUAAAAAAGUUUCAUACUUAGAAAUGCCAAAGAAAACCAAUUUAUGUCUAUUAUAGGUGGAAAGAUACUGGCCAUAAAUAUAUCUUGAACUUUUAACUGUGGCAAAAGAAAUUUUACUACAUAUUCUGCCUGCCUUUACAUAGGUAGUUAAGCUCUAUAUAAUUAUAUAGUUAGAAACACAGUUAUAUAACAAAUUAAGUCCUGGGAAAGGGAAAAAACAUGAUUCCGUGUAGAUACACACAGCCCUCAAAAUUUGCUUGCAAAUGGUUUGGCUCUUAAACAUAAUUUCUCACAGAAAAAUAUUUCAAAUUAUAGCCCCUCUCCACCUGAAACCCACUGAAUGCAUAAUUAAGUUGAAAUGUGGUUAUUAUAUUUGAGACAGAGCUCUUUCAGGGAGGAAGGAGGCAGAGGACACACAUUUACUUCUUUCCUUUAGGGCUGGCUAUGAAUAAAAUAUUGUCAUAGACAAUAUUUAUCAGGAAUCUUUUAUAUUCUUUCAUCUGUCACCUGAAUUUUGCCUGCUGCUCAGUUUUUGGUGUGUGCUAUACUCACUUCCUGUUUUAAACUACACUUAUUGGCACACUACCCAGGACCAGCCUACCUCCCAAAGGACUUUGUACCUCAAAAUGAUCUCCCUCCCCUCUUGUCCCUACUGCAGUGCCUUCCAUGUAGAAGGCACUCAAUAAUUACUCACUGAAGGAAUGAAUGAAAUAAGAAACAUACAAAGUAAAAGAGAAAAGAUGUGGUUUUGAUCCUUUAUAGCCUCUUCACUUUCCCUAUAUUUACAUUGUUUUCCAAGUUUCAUCCGUUUGUUGUUUUGCACAAUGGCUCCCUUGGAGGUGAGAGCUUGAGUUCCAACAAGUGUGGUAAGGGUAGGGUGGAGGACAGCCGGGCACAUGUUUUAUGCAGAUUUUUAGAUUCAGUGUUAAUGGAAGGCUCACCUUAUCUUUAAAUGGUGAGGCUAUUGUAAAUAGCGAGGCUACAAAGCUCAAGAGAACAUGGUGAAUCACGAUGACAAAAGGUAAGCACACAGUGGUGAUGUGGUGUAGAGAUUCCAGACUUGCUUCACGUGUGUUCCAAGCAGUGACGGCAUCUUAAAGCAGCUACAUCUCUGUCCUAUCCAACACAUAGAGAGGCACAAUAGAACAGUGCAGCUACAGUGCUUCUGCUUUGCAACAGUGGUUCACAGCCAACGAUGCUCAAUGCUCAGUGUGGCUCCCAUGGUAACUCAUGGGCGAGGUGCCUCGUUAGGCCCUUCCUGUGCUGCAUACCUAUCUCAUUGCUAAGCUGCUUCUGGUUGAAAUCCCAUGCACAUGCUCUUGUAUGGUCAAAAGGAGACUUCCUCUGUACAGAACUCACUCAGAGCCCGACAUGGGCACAUGGCAGGCUGCUGGCCAAAAUGUGCCCGCUAAGCCGCUAACAAAUGAAUCAUGAAUCUGGGUGACUGGAGAGACAAAUGUUUACCAUGGAAUGGUAACAAAAAGUCUGGGCUUUUUGCCAUUUAGGAAAGAAAAAAGAGUAUAUAAACUUUCUUAUCCUUUCCUGUAUGGAGGUCUAAGAAGGUACAGGGCACUCAGUUCAGUCUUUGGACAGCAAGCAAAGUGACAAUAAAUGAGACUUUUUAGAGAUUCACAGUGAAAUACACAUGUGUGUGUGUGUGUGUAUAUAUAUAUAUAUAUAUAUAUAUAAUUUUCUCUUUUUGUGAUGACUGGUUUGCUUUACCAUAAACCAGAGUAGGAUGUUGUUAUUACAAUUUAGCUCUUUCCUAUUCCAGCCCUUCAUUUUUUAAGGCUAUAGGGAAAGCAGGUUGUGCUAUUACUCAUUGAACACCAAGAAUGAGGGCAGAAUAAGAUAAUGUUUAUGAGUAUAGCCUUUGUAGUCAGACAGAGUGGAUUUCAAUUCUAGACCUGCCACAAUCUGGCUGUGUGACUUUUAGGAGGUUACUUAACAUCUUCCUCUCUGUAACGGUCACUGCAGGUAGGCAAUAUGUGUUAAGCACUUAGAACAGUGCCUGGGACAGAUUAAGUGCUCAAUAAAUGUUAGUUGAAGAUUAUUUGCUUACUGAUAGUAUUCCUAAAAUUAGUACUAGGAAAAUUUUCCACCAAAGGCAUUAUGGCCAAAGAACAAAAAAUACACACCAAUAACAUUAUGCCCCACUAGACUAAGUUUGCUAAUUCCUCUAAGGAAAGUUAUUUGAGUAGAAGUAUUUUAAAUUAACUAUUUGCGUAUUGUUUACUUUUUCUUUUCUGUGUUUUAUCAGUCCUUAUCACUGUGCCUGGUGAAUAAAUUAUUUCAGAAAUGGAGAUAAGACAAACAAGAGAUCUAAGACAAUGGAAUGUCUAGUAUGUUAACAUACUCUAUUCCAGAGGGAGAAAAUUAAGAAAAAUGGUUUCUAGCAUAUUUAUGAACAACGUAUUAUUGAUAUUCUGUGGUACAUACAUACAUGCAUACAUAUAUAGCUGAGCUCAGUCUUUGGAACUGGAAUGUGUGAUCCAGAUGUGCUUGUCUUUCCGUUUGGCCUUCUGCUCCCUUUUCUGAGUGGCCUGCCGUGCCUCCAUUUCUGCUGUCAGUGGCCCUGACACCUGGAGGACUUCCGGAAAGGUAUAAGCUGACCUGAGCUUUGCUGUAAUCAGAAGCAUCUGGAUUCUUCUCCAUGAACCUCCAGAACUCAUUACAUGCUGACUUGUCAGCUGCAACUGUGCAUGGUGGCCAGGUUCAGGAGUCCCUAGGUGUGAAAACCCAAAAAUGGGUUCAGCUUGCCUCCUGUUCCUCCCAACAUCACCCAAGCAGACCAAGGGAAAUACUGUCAAGUAGCCAGUGCCAAGAUCAUCGUCCGUGUACCCCAGAAGGGGUCGGCAUGAAGACCCUUACUUACUGCAGAGGGGUCUGCCCCUGCCUCUGAGGCCAACCACUGAGCCUCUCCCAGCUGCGGCUGCUGUGCGCAGGAGGGUGAAGCCACUGGAGCCCAAUGGGGCACUGAGCAGAGACAGAACUCCAGGGUCUAGGGGGCUGGCAGUUAGCCGGAGCUUCAGCAUCCCCCUAUCUCCCGCUCAGCAAGCAGCCAGAAGCACAUCCCAGAGCUCUGGAUGACCAGGGGACUUGGCCUCAUCUGGGGAAGGCCCCAAAGGGGCUGACUAUGAAAAGGCCUCAUCUUCUUGAGGUUGCUGGGAAAGGGUCAUUUACACCCCAGCCUCCAGGUCUCAGUUUCUCUCCUCCUCUGCUUGGGCAAUACCUCAAAUUCACGAAGAUCCAGCGUCCCCAGUGUCACCUCUACUAGCUCCAACUCUACCUGGGGGCCAUCCUCUCCCUCUGACUCUGAACCUAGGGGAAAAUUUCCUAUGUUAGAUACAUCUAAGGAAUAAGCAGAGGGUAGAAGGGUGUGAGCUGCCCCAGAUGCAUAAGAAUGUACAUAGAGAGAUAAUCCAGAUCACCUGAAAUAAAAUUGUCACCCCCCCCCCAAAAAAAAUUUCUCCUUCAGCUGCAUUUUGCUUCUCUUUGUCUCUCUGGCAAGCUGGCAAACUGUUUGAUGAUCCCAUGUUCAGCACACAGAGACAUUGCAGGUUCUCCAGUAUCUUCAUUCAACUAUUCAGGGAGAAGCCGAGAACAUCAAACUAUUUUCAGUUAUGCUAGAAAUGCACCAGGAAGUUUCCUACUGUGUAGCAGAGUGGAAGUGAUUUAUUUUAAAUGAGAAAAUGAACCAUUGGUCAAUGGAAAGUUGACAGCUAAUAAAAUAUCUGCAGCUGG